AGUGAACGCUGGCGGUAUGCCUAACACAUGCAAGUCGAACGGCAGCACAGUAAGUGCUUGCUCUUACGGGUGGCGAGUGGCGGACGGGUGAGGAAUACAUCGGAAUCUACUUUUUCGUGGGGGAUAACGUAGGGAAACUUACGCUAAUACCGCAUACGACCUACGGGUGAAAGCAGGGGAUCUUCGGACCUUGCGCGAUUGAAUGAGCCGAUGUCGGAUUAGCUAGUUGUCGUGGUAAAGGCCCACCAAGGCGACGAUCCGUAGCUGGUCUGAGAGGGUGAUCAGCCCCACUGGAAUUGAGACACGGUCCAGACUCCUACGAGAGGCCGGAGUGGGGCAUAUUGGACCAUGGGGGCAAGCUUGAUCAAGCCAUACCGCGUGAGUGAAGAAGGCCUUCGGGUUGUAAAGCCCUUUUGUUGGGAAAGAAAAGCAGCAGGUUAAUACACCGCUGUUCUGACGGUACCUAAAGAAUAAGCACCGGCUAACUUCGUG
rnacentral:rRNA from 1 species